rnacentral:sRNA from 1 species
GAGCUGGGGACCGAACCCAGGGCUUUGCGCUUCCUAGCAUUUUCCAGAAGAAUGAAGGCUUCAUUCAGUAGAUGAAGUAGAGAUGAAGAUUCCAGAUUGAUAUCAUCUAGAAUUCUUCGUACUUUGUUACUCAAAUAUGUCAUGUCUUCAGUAAAAUCAUCCAGUUUUAAAGGGACUCUUUAAAGGAAUUUGGUUACCGGAGAAAGUUUAGUACUGGCCUAAGGAUGUUGUGAAGAAAAAGAGUCCCUGAUCCAACAACAGGAAAGGUCUCUCUGGGAUAGUACUGAAUUGCAUUUGUCUGGAAUGGAACCUGACAAUUUUUAUUCACAACGAAGAAGCUUACUCCUCCUCCUGGGAUCAUCAUCCAUUCAUUUACCUCCAGUAAGGCUACGACUUUGGAUAUAACCAGCAGCUUCAAGAUCCAGCUAAUAUGAAUUUUGCAAUAGAAUGGACGACUGUACCUUGAAAUAUAAACUAACUACCUCUUUUA